rnacentral:rRNA from 1 species
CUAACUGGAGGACCGAACCGACUAAUGUUGAAAAAUUAGCGGAUGACUUGUGGCUGGGGGUGAAAGGCCAAUCAAACCGGGAGAUAGCUGGUUCUCCCCGAAAGCUAUUUAGGUAGCGCCUCGUGAAUUCAUCUCCGGGGGUAGAGCACUGUUUCGGCAAGGGGGUCAUCCCGACUUACCAACCCGAUGCAAACUGCGAAUACCGGAGAAUGUUAUCACGGGAGACACACGGCGGGUGCUAACGUCCGUCGUGAAGAGGGAAACAACCCAGACCGCCAGCUAAGGUCCCAAAGUCAUGGUUAAGUGGGAAACGAUGUGGGAAGGCCCAGACAGCCAGGAUGUUGGCUUAGAAGCAGCCAUCAUUUAAAGAAAGCGUAAUAGCUCACUGGUCGAGUCGGCCUGCGCGGAAGAUGUAACGGGGCUAAACCAUGCACCGAAGCUGCGGCAGCGACACUAUGUGUUGUUGGGUAGGGGAGCGUUCUGUAAGCCUGUGAAGGUGGCCUGUGAGGGUUGCUGGAGGUAUCAGAAGUGCGAAUGCUGACAUAAGUAACGAUAAAGCGGGUGAAAAGCCCGCUCGCCGGAAGACCAAGGGUUCCUGUCCAACGUUAAUCGGGGCAGGGUGAGUCGACCCCUAAGGCGAGGCCGAAAGGCGUAGUCGAUGGGAAACAGGUUAAUAUUCCU